rnacentral:rRNA from 1 species
GAUUUCUGGCUUGAAACAUAUUGCCGGCCACGGUUUCGUGUGUUAGUGCUUGAUGUUCUGGCCAUCCUUCCAAUCGCUAUUGGCUUUUCUUCAUUGAGAGGUCAGUGGUAUUGGAUCUUUUACUUUGAAAAAAUUAGAGUGUUUCAAGCAGGUUUUAUGCUAUGAAUACAUUAGCAUGGAAUAAUAAUUUAAGACUUCGGUUCUAUUUUGUUGGUUUCUAGGACUGAAGUAAUGAUUGAUAGGGACAGUUGGGGGUGCUAGUAUUCAGCGGCCAGAGGUGAAAUUCUUGGAUUCGUUGAAGACUAACUUAUGCGAAAGCAUU